rnacentral:rRNA from 1 species
GAUGAACGCUGGCGGCGUGCCUAAUACAUGCAAGUAGAACGCUGAAGCUUGGUGCUUGCACCGAGCGGAUGAGUUGCGAACGGGUGAGUAACGCGUAGGUAACCUGCCUCUUAGCGGGGGAUAACUAUUGGAAACGAUAGCUAAUACCGCAUAAAAGUCGAUAUCGCAUGAUAUUGAUUUGAAAGGUGCAAAUGCAUCACUAAGAGAUGGACCUGCGUUGUAUUAGCUAGUUGGUGAGGUAACGGCUCACCAAGGCGACGAUACAUAGCCGACCUGAGAGGGUGAUCGGCCACACUGGGACUGAGACACGGCCCAGACUCCUACGGGGGGCAGCAGUAGGGAAUCUUCGGCAAUGGGGGCAACCCUGACCGAGCAACGCCGCGUGAGUGAAGAAGGUUUUCGGAUCGUAAAGCUCUGUUGUAAGAGAAGAACGAGUGUGAGAGUGGAAAGUUCACACUGUGACGGUAACUUACCAGAAAGGGACGGCUAACUACGUG